rnacentral:rRNA from 1 species
AUGAACGCUGGCGGCGUGUCUAAGGCAUGCAAGUCGAGUGGGUUUAGACCCACGGCAAACGGGUGCGUAACACAUUGGUAACUUACCCCGAAGUCAUGAAUAAGCUUGCGAAAGCGAGUCUAAUACAUGAUGGUAGUGAGGGGACAAAAGUCAUUCUCACUUAAAGGUUUACUGCUUCGGGAAAGGCCUAUGGCUUAUCAGCUAGUUGGCGAGGUAAAAGCUCACCAAGGCUAUGACGAGUAGCGGGAUUGAGAGAUCGACCCGCCUCACUGGGACUGAGACACUGCCCAGACUCCUACGGGAGGCUGCAGUCAAGAAUAUUCCCCAAUGGCCGAAAGGCUGAGGGAGCGACGCCGCGUGCAUGAUGAAGCCCUUCGGGGUGUAAAGUGCUUUUAAUUGGGACGAAACAAUGACGGUACCAAUUGAAUAAGGGGCUGCUAAACUCGU